AAGGGCACCACAAGAACGCGUGGAGCAUGUGGCUUAAUUUGACUCAACGCGGGAAAUCUUACCGGGUCCGGACACACUGAGGAUUGACAGGUAACAUCUCUCACUGAUUUAUCAGUGUGAGUAUAAAUAUGCUAGUCCUUUCAUGAUUAUGUGAUAGGUGGUGCAUGGCCGUUCUUAGUUCGUGGAGUGAUCUGUCUGCUUAAUUGCGUUUCACUAUUGGGUCUAUAUAUACGUAUAUGUGUUGCGGCUUUGACCCCUCUAUAUCUGUUCACGCAGAUACUGAGUGCGCGUCUUACGCUUUGCUCACUAUACCUUAGACCCUGAAAGCAACGAACGUGACCGCAACCUCUUGUUGCUUUCAUCACACAUGCAUAAUAUAUAUAUCUUACGCUUCGGCGUAUAUAUUUUGUUAUGCUACGAAAGCUUGUCAUUCGUGACUACAUAAACUAGAGGGACCGCUGUUACUUUCUUAAACCAGAGGAAGGUUGCGGCAAUAACAGGUCUGUGAUGCCCUUAGAUGUUCCGGGCUGCACACGUGCUACAAUGAUUAUUGCAGUGAGCAUCUCAUUUUAUUACUACACCGCACGUGCGAGUCUAUAUUUAUUUCAUUACGCUUCGGCUAUUGUUAUAAAUAUCAGAUCUCUGCACGCGGUAAAGCCUACUUCGAAAGUAAGCGGGUAAUCAAUUAGAAGUAAUGAUUUCCUACAUACACACGAUUUCGAUCGUAUACUGCGCACAUACAUGCGGCGUAUAUACCCGGCAUACCUUGUUGUAUGUUCUUUGUGCGUAUAUAUGUAUUUUUCCGCAUGCGCAAUUGUCAAUUCAUGGUGGGGACAGACCAUUGUUUCAAUUGUUGGUCUCGGUCUUAACUAGGAAUGCCUUGUACGGGUCUUUGGUUCAACAAACCACCCGGAAUACGUCCCUGCCCUUUGUACACACCGCCCGUCGCUCUUACCGAUGGACUUCUCUGUGAGUUUGAGGGACUGUACUUUCACACUAUCACUAGUGUGAAUAUUAGGAAACUUAAACGAACAGUGUGGUCUAAAGGAAAGAGAAGUCGUAACAAGGCAUCAGUAGGUGAACCUGCAGAAGGAUCA
rnacentral:rRNA from 1 species